rnacentral:rRNA from 1 species
CGCAUCUGUGCAUGCAGCAUAUCAAUAAGCGGAGGAAAAGAAACUAACAAGGAUUCCCCUAGUAACGGCGAGUGAAGCGGGAAGAGCUCAAAUUUGAAAUCUUAAAGGGUUUCCCUUUACGAAUUGUAGUUUAAAGAAGUGUUUUCUGUUGAGGUUUUGGUAAAAGUUCUUUGGAAUAGGACAUCAUAGAGGGUGAGAAUCCCGUAUAUGACCUUUACUUUCAACUUUGUGAUACACUUUCAAAGAGUCGGAUUGUUUGGGAAUGCAGUCCAAAAUGGGUGGUAAAUUUCAUCUAAAGCUAAAUAUUGGCGAGAGACCGAUAGCGAACAAGUACCGUGAGGGAAAGAUGAAAAGAACUUUGAAAAGAGAGUUAAACAGUACGUGAAAUUGUCAAAAGGGAAGCGUUUGACACCAGUGUUGUUUUUCUGAAAAUCAAUUAAAGAACUGUUUAUGCUAAGUUGUUUAGACUUUAUCAGCUAACUGUUUAGUUUUGAGCUUUUCUUUAAUGCACUUUUCAGUUAACAAGUCAACAUCAAUUUCUUUUGCUGUAAAAAAGCUUGAGGAAGGUGGCUUGAGAUUCGUCUUAAGUGUUUAUAGCCUCUUGCCUAUGCAGUCAGGAGAGAUUGAGGUCUGCAGCGUAGAUCCUUCGGGGCUAAAUGCAUUUGUGCUAAGUUAUAACAGUUUUAUAGACAACUUGUUGACUAUGAUUUGUCUUGUAGCUUACUCGCUUAUGUUAUUUUACCUACGCUUAGGAUGUUGACAGCAGUAUAGACUGU